CCUCCUGUAUUUUACUUUUCACUUCCUAAUCCUUGAUACCGAUCAACAAAAUCCUGAUGGUGUUUUCUCACUACAAUAAAAACGGUCUAUAGUGACACUUUUAAAUAUAGGUACAUGUCAAAAAAAUGCUGCUAGCUAAAAUUACCGACACUUUUAAAAAGUGUUGCUAUAUGUGGGGUCGCUAGGUAUAUAGUGACAGUUAAAGAGUGUCGCUAUAACCUAAAAGAGUGCUGCUAAUUUACCAACACUUAUUUAAGCAUUUAGCAACCGCCGAAACUCUAUCUCGUUGGCUGCGGUGGCGGAGAAGGACGACAGGAAAGGCUCUUCGUCUAGAAUUUCAGUGGAUUGAGUGAAGAGAGAAGAAAAUAUGGUAAUUGAUUUUUCUUUUUUUUUUUCUUUUCUGUUUGUAAUCGGACCAAAUGGACUGGAUGUGGUGGGUUGAAUAGAGUAAUCUUUUAUUUUUGGUUGGAUUGGGCUUUCUAUUUAGGCAUUAGUAGAUGUUUUUUUAAGUUUUAGGAUAAAUGGGACACUUACUCAAAAGUGUCCCAAACAUGUGUCGCUAUAACCUAAUUCUGUUGU
rnacentral:lncRNA from 1 species